AUACGGGGGGUGCAAGCGUUAUUCGGAUUUAUUGGGCGUAAAGAGCGCGUAGGCGGCUUGGUAAGUCAGAUGUGAAAGCCCGGGGCCCAACCCCGGAAGUGCAUUUGAAACUAUCAGGCUUGAGUAUGGGAGAGGGAAGUGGAAUUCCUGGUGUAGAGGUGAAAUUCGUAGAUAUCAGGAGGAACACCGGUGGCGAAGGCGACUUCCUGGACCAAUACUGACGCUGAGGCGCGAAGGCGUGGGGAGCAAACAGGAUUAGAAACCCCAGUAGUCC
rnacentral:rRNA from 1 species